rnacentral:rRNA from 1 species
GACGAACGCUGGCGGCGUGCUUAACACAUGCAAGUCGAACGGAAAGGCCCUGCUUUUGUGGGGUGCUCGAGUGGCGAACGGGUGAGUAACACGAGAGUAACCUGCCCUUGACUUUGGGAUAACUUCAGGAAACUGGGGCUAAUACCGGAUAGGAGCUCCUGCUGCAUGGUGGGGGUUGGAAAGUUUCGGCGGUUGGGGAUGGACUCGCGGCUUAUCAGCUUGUUGGUGGGGUAGUGGCUUACCAAGGCUUUGACGGGUAGCCGGCCUGAGAGGGUGACCGGCCACAUUGGGACUGAGAUACGGCCCAGACUCCUACGGGAGGCAGCAGUGGGGAAUAUUGCACAAUGGGCGGGAGCCUGAUGCAGCAACGCCGCGUGCGGGAUGACAGCCUUCGGGUUGUAAACCGCUUUCGCCUGUGACGAAGCGUGAGUGACGGUAAUGGGUAAAGAAGCACCGGCUAACUACGUG